UACGGGGGAGCAAGCGUUGUUCGGAUUUACUGGGCGUAAAGGGCGCGUAGGCGGUCAGCAACAAGUCAGUUGUGAAAUCUCCGGGCUUAACUCGGAAAGGUCAACUGAUACUGUGCGACUAGAGUGCAGAAGGGGCAACUGGAAUUCUCGGUGUAGGCGGUGAAAUGCGUAGAUAAUCGAGAGGAACACCUGCGGCGAAGGCGGGUUGCUGGGCUGGACACUGACGCUGAUGCGCGAAAGCCAGGGGAGCGAACG
rnacentral:rRNA from 1 species